rnacentral:rRNA from 1 species
GAAAGGCCUUCGGGGGUACUCGAGUGGUAAACGGGUGAGUAACACGUGGGUGACCUGCCCUGCACUUCGGGAUAAGCCUGGGAAACUGGGUCUAAUACCGGAUAGGACCGCAUCGUGAGGGUGUGGUGGAAAGUUUUUUCGGUGCAGGAUGGGCCCGCGGCCUAUCAGCUUGUUGGUGGGGUAAUGGCCUACCAAGGCGGCGACGGGUAGCCGGCCUGAGAGGGUGGACGGCCACAUUGGGACUGAGACACGGCCCAGACUCCUACGGGAGGCAGCAGUGGGGAAUAUUGCACAAUGGGCGCAAGCCUGAUGCAGCGACGCCGCGUGGGGGAUGAAGGCCUUCGGGUUGUAAACACCUUUCAUCAUCGACGAAGGGCUCAUUUUUUGUGGGUUUGACGGUAGGUGGAGAAGAAGCACCGGCUAACUACGUGCCAGCAGCCGCGGUAAUACGUAGGGUGCGAGCGUUGUCCGGAAUUACUGGGCGUAAAGAGCUCGUAGGUGGUUUGUUAAGCGAGAUGUGAAAGCCCCGGGCUCAACCUGGGAACUGCAUUUCGAACUGGCAAACUAGAGUGUGAUAGAGGGUGGUAGAAUUUCAGGUGUACGGUGAAAUGCGUAGAGAUUCUGAAGGAAUACCGAUGGCGAAGGCAGCCACCUGGGUCAACACUGAUCGCUCAUGUAUCGAAAGCGUGGGGAGCAAACAGGAUUAGAUAUCCUGGUAGUCCACGCCGUAAACGAUGUCUACUAGAAGCUCGGAACUCGGUUCUGUUUUCAAAGCUACGCAUAAGUAGACCGCCUGGGGAGUACGGCCGCAAGGUAAAACUCAAAUGAAUGACGGGGGCCCGCACAAGCGGUGGAGCAUGUGGUUAAUUCGAUGCAACGCGAAGAACC